GCAUCAUUAGCUGAAUUGGCACAGCACUUGCCUUCGGAGCAAUAGUUUGUUGGUUCGAGUCCAACAUGAUGCU